GAUGAACGCUAGCGGCAGGCUUAAUACAUGCAAGUCGAGGGGUAACAUGGGUAGCAAUACCUGAUGACGACCGGCAAACGGGUGCGGAACACGUACGCAACCUUCCCAUAACUGGUGAAUAGCCUUUCGAAAGAGAGAUUAAUACACCGUAACAUAAUGAAGAGGCAUCUCUUUAUUAUUAUAGGCUUCGGCCGGUUUUGGAUGGGCGUGCGCCUGAUUAGGUAGUUGGCGGGGAACGGCCCACCAAGCCUACGAUCAGUAACUGGUGUGAGAGCACGACCAGUCACACGGGCACUGAGACACGGGCCCGACUCCUACGGGAGGCAGCAGUAAGGAAUAUUGGUCAAUGGACGAAAGUCUGAACCAGCCAUGCCGCGUGAAGGAUGAAGGCCCUCUGGGUUGUAAACUUCUUUUAUCUGGGACGAAAAAGGGCUUUCUAGCUCACUUGACGGUACCAGAGGAAUAAGCACCGGCUAACUCCGUGCCAGCCGCCGCCGUAA
rnacentral:rRNA from 1 species